GAGCACAUAGAAAUGCCAAUCUUAUCACAAAGAAAAGGGACAAAGUCCAGUUCAUAGCAUCAUUAAAUUGGAGCAUAUUCUUUAUAAGUCCCCUCACAAAGAGAGAAUCCAAAUCAGCAAUUGCAGACUUGAGAGCUGGCGAGGAGAAAACAACGGGUAAUUGACUAAAAUAGACAUGGAUUUUAUCAACCCAUUUCUUUGUUAUUAUUCCAUCAGAACCCUGUAAGCGUACUUAAGCGAGACUAGUAUUAUGAUGGACAAUCUUUUAAGAAGUUCUCGUGUUGUACCCGUCUUAUUAUUUCAAAAAAAAAAUUCAUUUCUUUGAUAUUCUCUAAACAAGAAAUUGUGACAGCAAGUCAGAAAUACUAGAUAAUUUGCCUCUUAAACAGUACCACCAGCCUAGACGUUUUCAAUCAUCUUUUAAAACCCAUAAUUCUUUUCAUUCCACCAUUUCUGUAAUAUUCCAUUAUAUAUCCUUCUGAACAUAUCCAACUCAGAUCCUGAUCUCAACUCGCUUAAGAGCAAUUUUCACAUCAACCUCAAAAAGUUGGUCAGCACACUCCUAUUAACACGGAGUCCAUUCCCAUCUGUAAGAUGGACAUCAAUGCAGGAUAAUAUGGCAGAGUAAAAAGGGCAUUUUUCCAACUUCUGGGACCACAUUCAUAAAACUAUCAACAAAGUAAUUAUGAACAACGGGCAAAAGGUUGCUGAAGGCAAUAAGUGAUAAGUCUUCGUUCUGAAAGUUCCGAGCUCGGAAGAGGUUAUAAAAAGUCCUCAAUUAACUCCUAUCAGACUCUGAUGAACAUAAAUGCUACAAGAUUUAAGAAAUGCUUCUGAUUAAAAACAAUAUUUUCCAUCAAAAGCUUAAGAUUUUUCCUCCACCAUCUACUCCCAACAAUCAUUUACACUACAUAAAAUUUUCAUGUUUUGAGAAAGUAAAAAUUAGAGGCAUUGAAUUAGGAUAAAAAAUCACCAAAUCUUCAGUAAAUCAAAAAAGGGAAAAAGUACUCUCUACCCUGUUCACUAUUUUGGACAGUAAUUACACAAAAGCAGCUAAUAUAGAUUGGAUCUAUUUGCAUAUAGACAAGUCUUCUUGAAUCUAAUAAAGCAUGUAUCCAAAAAUUUAAUAACAAAAUUAAUCUUGAUGAUAAUCUUAAACUGAAGUCAAACUAUUGCAGGAAAAACAUAUAAAUGGAAAAUUUGUCAAGAAAAAAAUCAACAAGAAUUUACCGGAAAUAAUAAAAUACAAGUCAAAUCACUUUAUCAUCACACACCAUUAACCCACAUCAUGAGUUAUUACAAAAGUAAAAAUAAUAGACGCUAAAAAUCCAUAAAAUCAAUAAGAAGAUAUGAAAAAAAAAAGAAAGAAGAAAGAGUAACAGCUAAGAAAAUUUUCAAAGAAAAAACAAAACGUAUCAGGAGAAAGAAGGGGAAAAAAAGGCAAAUCAUAUACGCGACCAUAUAAAAAAUUAAUUAACAUUCAAUAAAAAAUAAAGCUGACAAACCCCCAUAUCGUCAGAUCGCACAUCAGUUCUAAAGACAAAUCUUGAAUCAAAAGACAGAUUAAACAACUUUAUAUAUACAUAUAAAUAUUGAAACAGUAAAAGCAAAACGGACCCAUCUGAUAAACUUUUACCGGACACGAAAAACUGAUGACUAUAAACGAAAAGCUAUGAGGCAAUACCGAAGUCACGAAGCGACGUCGUAGAGGGCGGCGGCGGAGUCGGCCACUGAGACUUAACCGGAGUUUCCCCAUUAAGGAACUUAGAAUUUUCCUUGACGGGCGAUGCUGGGGUGACCAGCUUAUCACUCUUGGACCCGAAUGACAUCCUGAGUUUCAUUCCUGACUCGGGUGAGUUUCUAUGAAGCGAGACACAAGAACCCAUAAUCAAUCCCCCUCUCCCCUUCCCUCCCACCACCCAAAACCGACCAAGUUUUUUUUUUUCUCUCUCUCAAAACAUCAACGGGGUGGCACGGAAAGAAAAAUGGUGAUCAGGGUUUUGGAAAUAGAAGAAGAAAAUUGGAAAGGAGAGAAGAAAAAAUCAGAGAAGAGAGAGAGAGAGAGAGAGAGAGAUUGACCUUGAAAUGGAAAGUUAUGGAGACAAAGCGCCUGUUACAGUGAGGGAGGAGACUGGAGAGGGCAGUUUCUUUAUCAGCGUUAUU
rnacentral:lncRNA from 1 species